UACGUAGGGGGCGAGCGUUGUCCGGAUUCAUUGGGCGUAAAGCGCGCGUAGGCGGCAGGGCAAGUCGGCCGUGAAAUCUCCCAGCUUAACUGGGAGGGGUCGGGCGAGACUGCCCCGCUAGAGGCGGGUAGAGGGCAGUGGAAUUCCGGGUGUAGUGGUGGAAUGCGUAGAGAUCCGGAGGAACACCAGUGGCGAAGGCGGCUGCCUGGGCCUGGCCUGACGCUGAGGCGCGAAAGCCAGGGGAGCAAACGGU
rnacentral:rRNA from 1 species